GUUUCCAUGGUGUAGGAAUUGUAAUAUAAGUGUUUUGAAGUGAUCACAUGCUUCAUGAAAGGACUCAGUAUCCUUUUGAUAAAAAUUAGAAAUUGCAGCCCUUAAUUC
rfam:Ricinus communis cultivar Hale ctg_1100012359320, whole genome shotgun sequence.